UACGUAGGGGGCAAGCGUUGUCCGGAAUCAUUGGGCGUAAAGCGCGUGUAGGCGGCCAGAAAAGUCCGCUGUGAAAACUCGAGGCUCAACUUCGAGCUGUCGGUGGAAACUUUCUGGCUAGAGUCCGGAAGAGGAGAAUGGAAUUCCUGGUGUAGCGGUGAAAUGCGCAGAUAUCGGGAGGAACACCAAUGGCGAAGGCAGCUCGCUGGGAUGUGACUGACGCUCAUGUACGAAAGCGUGGGGAGCAAACAGG
rnacentral:rRNA from 1 species